GAUGAAGAACGUAGCGAAAUGCGAUAAGUAAUGUGAAUUGCAGAAUUCAGUGAAUCAUCGAAUCUUUGAACGCACCUUGCGCUCUUUGGUAUUCCGAAGAGCAUGCCUGUUUGAGUGUCAUGAAAAUAUCAACCUUGACUUGGGUUUUGUGCUCUAGUCUCGGCUUGGAAUUGGGUGCUUGCCGCUUUUACGAGCGGCUCACCUUAAAUGUAUUAGCUGGAUCUGUCUUUGAGACUUGGUUUGACUUGGCGUAAUAAGUAAUUCGCUAAGGACAUUCUUCGGAGUGGCCUCGUUUCUAGGACGCUUGUCCGCUUUCCAAUACAAGUUCCACCUCGUGGACAUGACUUUUUAUUAUCUGGCCUCACAUCAGGUAGGACUACCCGCUGAACUUAAGCAUAUCAAUAAGCGGAGGA
rnacentral:misc_RNA from 1 species